rnacentral:rRNA from 1 species
UACGGAGGGGGCUAGCGUUGUUCGGAAUUACUGGGCGUAAAGCGCACGUAGGCGGCUUUGCAAGUUAGAGGUGAAAGCCCGGGGCUCAACCCCGGAAUUGCCUUUAAAACUGCAUCGCUAGAAUUGUGGAGAGGUAAGUGGAAUUCCGAGUGUAGAGGUGAAAUUCGUAGAUAUUCGGAAGAACACCAGUGGCGAAGGCGACUUACCGGACACAUAUUGACGCUGAGGUGCGAAAGCGUGGGGAGCAAACAGG